rnacentral:tRNA from 1 species
GGGAAUCUGCAGCUUUUCUGGCAAUCCACAUCGUUCGGGACGAUGGGGUCGCAGGUUCAAAUCCUGCCACUCCGACCA